UACGUAGGGUGCGAGCGUUGUCCGGAAUUAUUGGGCGUAAAGAGCUCGUAGGCGGUUUGUUGCGUCUAUCGUGAAAACCUGCAGCUUAACUGUGGGCUUGCGGUGGAUACGGGCAGACUUGAGUUCGGUAGGGGAGACUGGAAUUCCUGGUGUAGCGGUGAAAUGCGCAGAUAUCAGGAGGAACACCGGUGGCGAAGGCGGGUCUCUGGGCCUUACCUGACACUGAGGAGCGAAAGCGUGGGGAGCGAACAGG
rnacentral:rRNA from 1 species